CCGCGAGGAGGCAAAGCUUUCACUCUUUCAGGUAAUGCUCUGUAAAUAUGAGGAUCUCCCUUCUUGGCUCCUCUACCAUUAGGGUUCCCCGAGCUGCCUGUCGGACAUACACUCUCAACCCAUCCUCAGUAGGGACACUUGGACUGCCCUUGAGACCGAAUCCUAACCACUAGACCACCAGGGAGCCACCACUUGGACUGCCCUGGAGCGGGAGAAGGCUGGCUGGUGAAUUGGCAGAUUCCCCAAUCUGGCUAAUGAUGAUCAUUUAAUGUCACCCUUUUACAGACAGGAAGACAUCUGGCAAGUUCUGCCCCUUUUCCACAUGAGGCCAAAUAUCCCUAAAACCUUACACCUUUCUUACAAAUCAGUACAAUUUCUCCCUUCAGAAGGCCGUAGUGAUAGGAACUUGGAGGUAUCCAGACUGCAUCUGGACAAGUGAUCACAUUGAGGAAGUAGGCACCCAACUGUUGACGGACAAUGAAUUCAGCCAUGCAGAAAUGAGGAAGGGAAGGCAAGACACAUGUUUCUGCUCAGGCUUCACACACGCUAAUUACCCAGAUCCAAGAUAGCCAAAGUGAGUUGGGAAGUGGAGCUGAUACAUUUAGUUCCCCAAAGAGGUCUUCAGAGAGCCCCACGCUCAUGAAUGCGGCACGUAUGUGUCACUUCACAGGCGGUGGAAUGCGGUGGCCGGAUGGGUCAGCCUCCUUACACACAUGUGGAUAUACGAGACUCACCAAGGAGACAGCUCCAGUGCAAGCUUCAGUAGAACCGGAAGAAAUCUCAUGGGUCUCCAAGACAGAUUUCUUAUUGGAAAGAGCAAAUGCAUUUUCCUCACUCUGGGAAUGAGUUUGCAUGGGGGAGAAAAUAGAAAAUCUGGAAAACACUGGGAAACUGGAAAAAUUUUAGGAUGUUUUCCUUGGUAAGUAAAUGGAAUAUUAGCAUAUUAGUGACAAUGAGUGUCCAUUCUCUUUGACUUAAUACUUCUACUUCCAAUUAUUUAUUUUAAAGAAAUAAUCACAGAUACGUAUCAGGAUAUAUGUAUAAGAAGCUUUUAGGAGAUUAUUUAUAAUAAUAUGAAAAACAAUACAAAUAAAUGAAGAAUAAAUUAUAAUAUAUCCA
rnacentral:lncRNA from 1 species